CCUCCUUAUACGAUUUAGAACUUAUUUGUUCGUAGUGUCCACACAGAUGAUUGUUAGUUAGUUUUACCCUCUGGGUUAACUAAUUAAUAUGCUCUUUAAAAAUUUGGAAAAGCUGAUAAUAAAAUUCGUAUGAAUAACAUUGUUAUUUGUACAGAGUUUUCAAAAGUAAAAAAGAAUGAUAGCAGUAUCAUUCAGUGCCAAUUUAAUCCUCGGAUUAAUUGGUAUCUACUUUAGUAUUCAAUAUUAACUUCUGGCGAAGUUAAACUGUCACGAAACAAAGACCCGUUUGGGUUGUAUGGUUAAGUGACUAAGCGUACACGGUGG
rnacentral:misc_RNA from 1 species